UACAGAGGAGCCAAGCGUUGUCCGGAUUGACUGGCGUAAAGCGCACGCAGGCGGCACCGUGCGUGGGUGUGAAUCUGGCCGCUUAACGGCCAGGCGCCAUCCCAUACGGCGGAGCUAGAGUGAUGCAGAGGUCGAUGGAAUUGCGGUGUAGUGGUGAAUGCGUAGAGAUCGGCAGGAACACCCAAGGGGAAGCCAGCUGACUGGCCCGGUACUGACACUCAGGGACGACAGCGUGGGAGCGAACGG
rnacentral:rRNA from 1 species